CAAUAGCGUAUAUUAAAGUUGUUGCGGUUAAAAAGCUCGUAGUUGGAUUUCUGCUGAGAACGACCGGUCCGCCCUUUGGGUGUGUAUCUGGCUCUUUCUUGGCAUCUUCUUGGUGAACGUUGCUGCACUUGACUGUGUGGAGCGCUACCCAGGACUUUUACUUUGAGGAAAUUAGAGUGUUUCAAGCAGGCAUACGCCUUGAAUACAUUAGCAUGGAAUAAUAAGAUAGGACCUCGGUUCUAUUUUGUUGGUUUCCAGAGCUGAGGUAAUGAUUAAUAGGGAUAGUUGGGGGCAUUCGUAUUUAACUGUCAGAGGUGAAAUUCCUGGAUUUGUUAAAGACGGACUACUGCGAAAGCAUUUGCCAAGGAUGUUUUCAUUGA
rnacentral:rRNA from 1 species